rnacentral:lncRNA from 1 species
AUCGUACCUUAGAACUCAGAUUAUGCAUGUAAUUCAUAUCAUAGGAUCCUUUGUAGAUAGUUUUUAGAUCUGAUCGUAUGCAUGCAUAGAGAUUAAAAUAUUUAAUUUAGCCUCUUCUGCUAAAAAUUUUUAAAAAAUACAUGCAUGAAACUGCCUGUGUUCCUUUCAUAGACAAAACAACCAAAAAGAUUAUCAUGAAAUAUGAUGCAGAGAUGAUAGACUAAUAGAAGCCAGGGCUAUAGCGAGAGUCAGAAGAGCUGCUAGAAGGAUGAGGAUAGGGACGAUGAGUAGAAAAA